AGUGAACGCUGGCGGUAGGCCUAACACAUGCAAGUCGAGCGGCAGCACAGAGGAGCUUGCUCCUUGGGUGGCGAGUGGCGGACGGGUGAGGAAUACAUCGGAAUCUACUCUGUCGUGGGGGAUAACGUAGGGAAACUUACGCUAAUACCGCAUACGACCUACGGGUGAAAGCAGGGGAUCUUCGGACCUUGCGCGAUUGAAUGAGCCGAUGUCGGAUUAGCUAGUUGGCGGGGUAAAGGCCCACCAAGGCGACGAUCCGUAGCUGGUCUGAGAGGAUGAUCAGCCACACUGGAACUGAGACACGGUCCAGACUCCUACGGGAGGAAGCAGUGGGGAAUAUUGGACAAUGGGCGCAAGCCUGAUCCAGCCAUACCGCGUGGGUGAAGAAGGCCUUCGGGUUGUAAAGCCCUUUUGUUGGGAAAGAAAUCCAGCUGGCUAAUACCCGGUUGGGAUGACGGUACCCAAAGAAUAAGCACCGGCUAACUUCGUGCCAGCAGCCGCGGUAA
rnacentral:rRNA from 1 species